rnacentral:rRNA from 1 species
GACGAACGCUGGCGGCGUGCUUAACACAUGCAAGUCGAACGAAGUGGGAACGGGGGAGUAAUACGUGGGUAACCUCCCUCCUUUUUGGGAUAAGCCUUGGAAACGGGGUCUCAACCGAAAAGAUGGGCUCGCGGCCUAUCAGCUUGUUGGUGGGGUGAUGGCCUACCAAGGCGGUGACGGGUAGUCGGUCUGAGAGGAGGAACGGCCACAGUGGGACUGAGACACGGCCCAGACUCCUACGGGAGGCAGCAGUGGGGAAUCUUCCGCAAUGGACGAAAGUCUGACGGAGCAACGCCGCGUGAGUGAUGACGGCCUUCGGGUUGUAAAGCUCUGUUAAUCGGGACGCGGUACCGGAAUAGAAAGCCACGGCUAACUACGUGCCAGCCGCCGCGGUAAUAC